CAGCUGGUGCUCUGCCAUUAUGGCAGGAGCUGAACCCAGUGUCCUGGGUGGCAUGUGGCAGUGCGUGAUCUAAGCUGUCAAGUUCCUGCAGUGGAUAAAGAUGUUUGCAGUCACUCCAUGAGACGUCUCUGUGCAGGAUCAGAUUUUUUUGUGGAUUUAGAGAAAACAACAGUGACAGAAGUUCAGCAAAUAUUUUUAUCGCCCUAACUGGAUGUCGACAAUCAGUAAGAGCCUCCCUACAGAUAUAUGAGUCAACGCCUGAAGACACAGGAAUGAGAGGAGUGAGUGAAGCUGAGCCCCCACAUAGGACGCAGAUGAACUUUCGUAGAAGAGGGGAGAGUGACUUUUAUCCUAAGGAACUAGAUUUUUCUUUCUUAAACAUUGACAUAUUCUCCUAAACUGAAGACAUGAUGGAAUGCAUGGAAUAAACUGGGAACAGCCAUGUUGAAGCUUGAUGUAAAGAGGUCAUGGUGGAGACACAGUGCUCCAUGGUGUCAGGACCCAAGCCCUUUCCAUAUUGUUGCUCCGCCAUGUAUGGCCAUCCCAUUAUUACAUUUUAUUUCCUUUGUCAUCCUUAAUAAUUGCUGAAAUCAACUUGUUUAUUUUUUGUUUGCUUUUAAAUUCUUACCUCACUAGAAUUUAAGAGAAAUCUAACUUGUUUAAUCACUGUUCCAAGUACAUAGACAGUGGUUGGAACACAACAGGUGUUAAACAUGGAUGGAAAAAAUGAAUGACUGAAUGAAUGACUGAAGCCUCAAUCAGCUUCAGGGGGUUGCAAGUCUAGUAGGGGUCAGUGGCAGUUGCUGGCAGG
rnacentral:lncRNA from 1 species